UACGUAGUGACAAGCGUUGUCCGGAUUUACUGGGCGUAAAGAGCGCGCAGGCGGUCGUUCAAGUCGAGUGUGAAAGCCCCCGGCUCAACUGGGGAGGGUCACUCGAUACUGAUCGACUCGAAGGCAGGAGAGGGUAGUGGAAUUCCCGGUGUAGUGGUGAAAUGCGUAGAUAUCGGGAGGAACACCAGUGGCGAAGGCGACUACCUGGCCUGUUCUUGACGCUGAGGCGCGAAAGCUAGGGGAGCAAACGGG
rnacentral:rRNA from 1 species